GCUUAGCCCUAAACCUAGAUAGUUAACCCAAACAAAACUAUCCGCCAGAGAACUACUAGCAACAGCUUAAAACUCAAAGGACUUGGCGGUGCUUUAUAUCCCUGUAGAGGAGCCUGUUCCAUAAUCGAUAAACCCCGAUAAACCUCACCAUCUCUUGCUAAUUCAGCCUAUAUACCGCCAUCUUCAGCAAACCCUAAAAAGGAAGAAAAGUAAGCACAAGUAUCUUAACAUAAAAAAGUUAGGUCAAGGUGUAGCCCAUGAGAUGGGAAGUAAUGGGCUACAUUUUCUACAACUAGAACAUCCACGAAAAUCCUUAUGAAAUUAAGUAUUAAAGGAGGAUUUAGUAGUAAAUUCGAGAAUAGAGAGCUCGAUU
rnacentral:rRNA from 1 species